UUAGCAACCUCUAGAUUGUGUCAUUGACGCACGUUAUGUAAUUUAAGACAAUACAUUUUAAGUCGAGAUAUAGAAAAGCUAAAAUGAGUCACACUUUUAACAGAGCAAGUAAAACGAUUUUAUAGAGAGUUAGACCGUGAGGAGAUCCACCCUUCAGGUACUAUUUUAUAGUUUUAUAGUUCCGUGAAAAGUCUUCAGUGUUAUUUGUUUUAUUAGCUAUCUUUACAGUCGAUUUUAGCGAACAUUUUACUAUUAUAUUGUCUUUGGUAUUGUAAAAAUAUGAUCGGAAUGUGCAUGUUAUAUCUUUGUAAAUUUGUGACUUUUAGAAUUAAAUUAAAGGGAAUUCUCCUUGCGUGUCGCAAUUUGUCUCCCUGUCAUGCGUCCUUACCACGUAUGACGCCAGAUGACGGUCUGUGCGCAUCUGACACUGUAAAUUUGUGAUAUAGAUUAUAGUAUAUUAACACAAUAUAAGAUUAUAAUAGGACGAAGAAAAAGGCUAAAAUCUUACUAUAAUUACCGAAUACGAAUUAUCUGACUAAAUCCAGAUAAAUCAAUGACUGAAAUUUCCUCUCUGCUUAUGGACAUUUCUCUGUUCGGCUAUUAUCAAAUGUUUACAUUUCUACUGUAAUAUUUGGGCCAGUCCUGGACAAUACUGUUUCCUUUAAUUAAAAAUCUUAUGAAAGAGACGCGUAGUAACAAGUGAAUCGGUGCAAAGCGUAUCAACGUUUACAAGAAAGGACAAAUGUAAUGGCCUAUUUUAAAAACAUUACAAUAAACGUUUGUUAUAUAAACCGCGCUCGAGUGUGAAGAGAGCAUGCAUUUGCUUGGUUUCUUGACUUGACUGUAAGUAAGAAUGUUCUUGUAAAUUCGAAGCAAAGAAAAUAAACAAAAAUUAGCAAGUAUUUUGAACGUAAUAAUUCGCAAAAUUUAUGUUUUUAACGAAUAUUCCAGUAUUAUAUUAUUAAUAUACCCCCUCAGGCGCUAAAUUUUUGACGAGGCACGUGACCAGCCGCAGCCAGGGUCUUUCCCACUGAGCUAUACUAUAUUACUGGAGGACCUGCUCGGCAUUAAAAAGUGUCGCCAAAAACAUGGCGGAUUUCGGCCUUUGCUGACGCCAGAAUGACGCCAUAUGGUUCCUCCGGCUCAUGGUAAUUACCACUGACCAGGCUCAAUUUUGAGCCCGCUACGACUUUCACACCCCCAUGGUUCUUAUUAAAAUAUUUUAGCUUGUUGAAGUCUUUGCAGUAUAUUUUCGUAGUUUUUGAUUUUUUCAUAUUUUUUGGACCUUUGACCACUAGUUCAAAUGUGUGCAAGUCGUACACAUUAUAUUCUCGUCCUCAAGAGACAGAAAACCUCGAAAUACAUCCGCAAAGACGACAUUUCAAGCCGCAACUACAGGUAAAAUAUUUCUCAGUUCAUAACUUCACACACUCGAGCAAAUUUUCUACAAAAAUUGUUGGGUUUAACUGUGGUACAAUGUAUUAUAUUUUAGCCACAAGUAUGUAAAGCCCUCUAAAGCCUUGUUGUACAAAGUAAUCAACUUUCGUUUCAUUUAAAUCGUGAGCAAAAUGGUAUUUUGAUCUACUGUUUAACAUGCUCUAUUUGUUGCAUAUUUUAUGAUGUUUUGAAUAAGCCUGUAGUUUGUAUUUCAUAAUACUAUAUUUUCUGUAGGUGGCACGAAGCUGUGCAUUUUACAAAUAUCAAAUUAUCUUAAUUUGACCCUGGGGACUGAUUUUAUAAUGACAUGAAAGUACAGUAUGGCAGAUGGUGCUGUCUGAAGUGGGCAGAACUCAACUGCUGAUAAUAGUAAAAGUAUUAGCUAAGCGUGUCCAAAAGUGGGAGGAAGCUGAACCUCCCAUCUCUUCCAUUAGAGGUGUGGAUAUUUUCUUGAAUGACCCAAUCAUUUUGAAGUAACUGUAUAAUCAAGUUAUUCUGGUAUAAUUAUCACUUUGUAGUCCCAUGAGCUGUAACAUCACUUUGGCUGUUUGGCAUGUUUAUCUCUUUUCAAUUUUCUUUUAGUAGCGAUAACAGAUUACUACUACAGACACUGUAUUUCUACACAUUGUUACACCCAAAUAAGAUAUACACAUCAAUGUUAACUAUAUCAUGAUACAAUACAGCUGUUAACAGCAAGAACAUUUUUGCUUCAGUUCUUGUAUAUCACUUUGAUGCCUGUAAUAGAAAUGAGAAAUAAAGUUACUUUGUUUAUGAUUGUUUUAUUCUAUGGUGUGAAACUGUUUCAUGUACAUUUCAAAAUUUCUGGCAUCACCCCUACUUUGCAAGUUACAGCUCUGGCAGGCUGGAUUGGAACUGUUAGCUCUGGUGCACCACUAAUCUUGUAUAAAUCUGAAUUAACCCAUUAAGUGCCAUCGAUCUCCCCAAUUGAUGAGUAAAAUUAUCUGGUGUUAGACAGAGUAAAAUAAUCUGGCAUUAUACAGAGUAAAGUGAUAAAGUAGGCCGCAUCAGGGGGCAAAGCGACUCAUAACUAGACACAUAAACUCAUAACUAGACACAUAGACUAGUUAUAUAUUAACCAUUAAGCACCAGCACUCUCUACCUGAUGAGUAAAAUCAUCUGGCAUCAGACAGAGUAAAAUAAUAAAGUAGGUUGCAAUGCAACUCAAUGGGUUAACCUCUAAGGGACCUAAAUAAAUAUGGCUUUCUUGUCUAAACAUAAAUCAAGACUCCCAUGACAGAGGUAUUUUCUGAGUGAAGGAGGUUCGUUGUUUGGAGAUUUUUAUGAGGCAUAUAUAGAGGUUGACCCAUACUAGCAUUCAAGGUAAUUCCAAAGCAAGAAUGAUAUAAGUAUAAAUCAUGCAAAUUUGGGUAUGCACAAGUCGAUGGUAGCUCAAUGCUGACUGAAAUGUAGUGCACAACACCACAAAAAAAGCCUAACUACACAGCCAAUUGGUAAAUGCUGAUACAAAACCUAGCAAGUAGCAAGACUAGCAGUUUAUAAUAUUUGUGAAGGAUACAAUACAGCUUGUUUAUACUGUAUAUAAUCUAGUGCUAACUGCUCUUUAUGAAACAAAAGCAAAGUACAGAUUACAUGAGCUGCUGUUUAAACUAAUAAACUGGCACUAAAAACAAAAACAAAAGCCAGUGCCUGAAACUAGAAACAAAAUGUAUGAACACAAUGUGUAAAUAACCAUGUACAACAUUUUUUAUGUCUGCUCCAGAAAUAUUGGUGUAAAUAUAAAAUAUAAGUGUUCGACAAAUACAUAUUUAUACCUCGAUUUUAUACGCAUAUCGGCCCCUGACUUUGCCAAUCGAGAAUUAGUCGAAUAAAAGGUAAAAACGUAAAAUUUUCACAAAUCUUACCUUUCAGAAGAAAUAUUCUUCCUUUUAAAGUCUUUACAGCGAAUUUUUGCAUCCACAAGCGGAGAAAAACGGCAUGAUCUUGUCUUGAAAACAUAAAAUAUUUGUGCAAAAAUAGGGGGGCGAAGGCCUUUGUCGGAUGCUUAGGAUCGCGGUUGGUCAGUGGUAAAUGCCAUGAGCCGGAGGAACCAUAUGGCGUCAGCAAACGUGAAAAUCCGCCAUGUUUUUGGCGACACUUUUUUGACUGACGAGAGAUAGGAGCACCUCCUCCAGUAAUUUAGUAAAGCUCAGUGGUCUUUCCGAAAGAAAGAUCCUGGGUACGAGGUUGAAGGCAAACAAGGUAACAGGUGGGCAAUUUGUCUGAGCAUGCGCGAAGAAAAUCAAUAUGGCGACAUAUAUUAGGAGUGUUUCGUGAAUUUAUCUGGUUUUAAAGCAGCUGAUAAAACAACAUUUUAAUGAACGAAAACUUUGUAAUAUUUAGUGGAAAACAUUAAGCUAUGCAUUCCAAAGGUUUUAAAUUGAAAAUAAGUACUUUUGCUUUAUUUUAAUGCUUUUUAUGCUUUGAGAACAGGCAAGCUCAUUUUUUGGCAAAAAUCUAAUCUAAUAUUUUACCCAUCAUUUGUUUAAUCUGAACAGAAAUAGAUAGAACACUUGGCUAUAUAAGUUACAAAGGUAUUGUUAGCUUAUCUGAAAGAUGUCAGUAUUCCUGGUGCACAUUUUAACAAAGAAUGAAAUGUAAUUUCAAAAAUUAAAUAUGCAUAUCACAAACAAUAGUUUUUAUUAGAACAGCACAUAAUAAGUUUUUAUUUUCUAUUUUUACAAAAACAAGUUUGGAAACAGGAUUUAGUCCUCCAGCUUGAUGUCAUAUUCCAUUUAUUUGGAUAUUUCAGUAAAGGAAUGUGAAAUAAUAAUUUAAUCUUGUUCAAAAUUUGAUACCAACACACAUGCAUAUGUGAACAGAUACUAUCACCUAAAAAUAAAAGAAAACAGAACUUAAAUUUAUCAUCUAAUACUAUGAAAAAAAUCUUAGGUUCUACAGGCAUAUAGUGAGCACAAUUCUUUAACAAAACUCACUAAAAUAAGUUAAGUUAUACUAUGAUAAGAGGAUGGCAAUAGAUAACAACAUCAAAUGUAUUAAUGUUGUCAUCUUCAGUGUCCAAAAAAAGUGCCGCGCGCAUUUUUCAUGGUCGCAUAACUGGUAUUGCCACAAACCCAGGUGAAAAAAGAAUUAGAAAAACCUGGUUUUGAGUGAUGAGCAUUGUCAAAUUCUUGACUUAUUCAAAUUUCUAUGUUUUUCCAGGUAAACAGUUUAAACAUUGAAAUAAGUUGCAUUCGGAACUUCAUAGAAUCCAAACUAUUGUGUAUGGACCAGACUUUUUCUAUAAUUCAAGGGUCAACCAGUAUUGUUCAAGACAUGUUAUCUUUCCAAAACUCAUUUUCAAAAUACCAACCCAAGCAUAUCAAAAAUAGUGUACAUUUACAAGGGCAAUUUCAACCCUCUGGCACAUUUUCCCCAUGAAUGAUUUCAAUUCUAAUAGGAAGACUAUAGAUAAAACUUUUAUUAAAAGCUAGUUUCAAAUGAUGAGCAUACCCUAAUUUUUAAGCUAUACCUCAAAGAAGAUGGGCCAUUUCAACAUAAACAUUGAAAUAUGGGUAUACUGACAGCACUGUCACACGUGUAGUUUGACAUUAGCAGCCCUUUUGAAACAUUUUAAUGAAAGUAUAAUUCACAAAAUUCACAUUUUCACUUACUUCCUAACUUGAAAAUUAGUGUUGGUGUAAAUAUCCGAAAUUUAGUGUUGGUGUAAAUAUCCAUUUUAGUUCAUGUUUCCCCGGUGAAAAUAUAGUAGACUAUAUAGACUUCCAACGCUGAUUUCGACGUACUUUAGCUUUUCAGAAACCGCUGGCCUUCCUCAGUGAGAUUAUCAACUGUUUCACAAACAUAUUUGAUAGUAAACAGCUAAAAUAUUCUCCGAAAGUCUGUAUUUUUGCUCUUCGACGCGAAAAUGGCAACUCAAGAAGAAAUGAGCUGAUAUAUUUGCAUAUUUGGUCAGCGUCGACAAAUUGCCCACCUGUUAAACAAGGAUAGUUUUUUUGCAAGAUAUAGGCGAAGGCAAACAAGGAUAGUUUUUUGCAGUCAUGUCAUCCAUAUUUCGUAAUUAAUGUUGUACUUUUCCUACAUUUUUACAUACAACAGUUUGUAAACAAAGAGCGGAUUAACUUGAAUUGCUAUCACAGUGUCAACCCGUCUGCCCAGAGGGCAAAAUCGUAUCCUUUGCCUUUGUUUUGGUCUUUUGACUUUAAAAAUAAGUUAACAUUCUCCUGUGUUACGUCAUUAAAAUAAAUUAAACCGCUAUACCAGUAUUCACCUUUAAUCUUUAUCUAAAGAAAGUAUGUCAUUUAUUUCGAAAUGUACAUCUAUAAAGUAUGACGUUCGACUGCAUAACGUGCAGUGGUGCCUAAAUUACUUUGAAUUUGUACUUGAGUAAAAGUAGAAGUAAUUAACAAUAAAACGACUUGAGUAAGAGUAAAAAGUACUGGAGGCAAAACGUACUUAAGUAAAAAGUACAAAGUCCCCUUAAAAAUACUUGAAGUACAAAGUAAAAGUAAAAGUACUAUUGUCUUUAGCGAGAAGGGGGGUGGGAACUUCUCCAAUGAAUUUACAUACAAAAGACACAAAACAUACAAUAUUUCACAGCAUGGUCCACUUUUCAGACCCCAUUGAAAAUAUAAGAAGUCCAUUAAAUAAAUAAUACUUACAAGUAAGCCACAAACGAGAGAUCCCAGACUCAUGUAGAGGUCCUAUUACUUAUCCCAAAUUUAAAACAAAUCAAGAAUAAAUCACGUAAAAUUAAACAAGAGUUAAAACGUAACGAAAUUCUUCGCCACAAAAUGAAAAUAACGAAGUAAAACGUUAUUUCUUAAGACAACUUCGUUCCAAGUAAAAGUACUGUAGAAAAAGUUUACUUUGUUACAUGCUCACUUCUCAAAACUAAUACUCAAGUACAGUAACGAAGUACAUUUACUUCGUUACAUGACACUACUGAUAACGUGUGUCCAAUUUUCAUCCUGUCCUGCAUGUAUGGUUUGUAUUUUCGUAUGUUCUGUUCCUAUAGCUUAUAAUGAAAUUGCAGUGUUGCCUCGCUGUUCCAUUUACCAUUACCAUGUUUAUAACCUGAGACCAUGUAUGCAUUAUGUGUUAAUAGACCGUUAGUCGUCUAGAACUCAGCUACUAUAUAUUUUAUAUUACCUGACUAAAUAUGCAGUUUCGUCAUUUGUAUCAGCUAGUAUGUGUUGUAUACAUCUUUAAUGGUUUAACUUUUAGUGAGAGUCGAAACGAAUAGGCUAUUUUUGACGAAAUUAAUCGUCCGUGUUUUGUGUAUACGGUGCAUGCGAGCGGCAAUAUUUUUCACACAUGAGUUUGUAGUUUGUACACAAAGAGCGGUUAAUUUCAAUUGCUGACACAUUGCCAAGGUCAAGAUUGUACAAUCGUGUACUUUGUAAUUCUAACUUUGGCAGUGUACGUUUGGACCAUUGAAAUUGUUCCCAAUGCCAGUAUUUCCCUUCACUCCUUUAGUUAAAGUUAGAAUUCUAUUUGCUUUGAAACAGUCUGAUUGGAAUGAUAAAACUUUUUUAGACCUUAAUUUACUGGUAUCGGUCCGAAAAAAAUGUGUUUUACCCGUGAUUUACAGGCAUUUCUCCAGAAAAUUUUUUUUAACCUUGUUUUACUGGUGUUUGUCCGGAAAACGUUUUUGAACCUUUGUUUUUGAAAUGUCCGGAAAAAUCCCCCCGAAUUAAAUAUUUGCCCCGACCCCCCGAAUUUCUCUGUUAGACUCUGUGUACAGCUUGUUGGUAUAUAUCUUGCGCGCAACUUAAUAAUAACAACACACUGGCCCAUGCUAUACCACGGGCUUUAGGACAAAUUCAAUUCGACAACAAUAGUAUUCUAUCUAAAUAGCAGUUAAAAUAAAGUGUACGGCACCUGAACUGUUCAAUAUCUUGCUUCUAUAUCCAUAAAACAUUUACAUAUAUGCAAAUGCUGUAUAUUUUCAAAAUCCGCCAUAUUUAUUUACAUUAGAACCCAAGCUUUCAUGGUUCGCACGAAAUAUUAACGUCGGUGAUUUUCACUAAUAAUAAGAGGGUAGGAUUAAAGUGGGCGUUGUCACUCGCUAACCCAAUCAGCUGUCUGGGUUCUGUACCACGUGGCCUAUUCAAAUCGUUCCGAGCGGGAGGAAUCUUAUGACAUCAUAACGGCUUCGAUAAAAUAAUUUUUGGGACACGUUUGUGCCAUAUAAGGAAGUUGGGGACACGUUUGUGCCAUAUAUGGAAGCAUGGUUUCCUCACGCUUCAAACGAUUGAACAAUUGGAUGAUCCUAUCCUCUUAUUAUUAGUGAAAAUCACCGACGUAAUAUUUCGUGUGAACCGCGAAACGGCGAAAGCUUGGGUUCUAAUGUAAAUAAAUAUGGCGGAUUUUGAAAAUAUAGAACAUUUGCAUAUAUGUAAAUGCUUUAUGGAUACAGAAGCAAGAUAUUGAACAGUUCAAGUGCCGUACACUUUAUUUUAACUGCUAUUUAGAUAGAAUGCUAUUGUUGUCGAAUUGAAUUUGUCCUAAAGCCCGUGGCUGUACCAAAGAUUCUGUUGAGUAUUAUUCUUCAGUGUUUGUCAAUUCUGGACAAAAUUUAUAUCAUGUUAAUGAAAUAUAAAUAAUAUACGUUUUGCAUUCGUAGAUCAUGGAAGCGAUAUGCAGUCACUUUAGACGUCACGGAGGUAUGUUUGUUUAGACUCUGUUGACAUUUUGAAUUUCGUGUGCUUGUGUCAAAAAAUUUCCACAGUACCUUCGCGACUUAUUUUGUUUCAGAUCGAUAUUUUGAGUGAAAUACCCAAAAAUUCUCGGAUGUAUUUACCUAAAUGCGAAGUCCGAAUCACCCGUAAUUGAUUAUUCACUGAUAUAUUGUGCAUGACAAUACACUAGCUACAUGGAAAACCCUAAAAUCUCUGAUGAGUACGAAGUGCCUUGGUACGCACCAUAGAAAUAAUAAAUAUAGAAUGCGUAUACUCCUAUCAUUUCUCAGUAAAAAAUUUGUUUCCAUAAAAUGGCGGAUUUAUAAGGGCAUUUUGGUUCAUCUCAGACUCCUGAGGCAAGGAAUUUCAUGCGGUUGCACUGAGUGCAAAUUGUUUUUUCAACUGCAAAGUUUGCAAAAAAUUUUAUAUCGAGACUUAAAAUGGAAAAAAAGUUUUAUAAAGCAGAAAAAUGUCUAAAAACCCAUUCCAGUGGGCUUUUUUACGAAAAGCUACAGUUUUGAAAAGAACAUAGUCAGAAAUCGUCGUUUAAAAAUAAAUUUUCGACGUUGUUGUGCAAGCCAAAACAAAACACGAAAGAUCAAGACAAUCUCAAACUCAAUACGUAUGUUCUACAAAUAUUUCACAUCUUUUAUAAUAUAAAUGGAGUUCAAUAAUCAUUUUAAUCUUACACAGUUACUUUUCAUAUUUUUCUACGUUGUUUGAGCUUGAGGCAACGCUUUGAAACCAUAGUUUUCGAUGAUUAUUUUAAUAAAAUAUUUAGCCUACAGUUUAUCGACAACUAAAUAUUUUUGUUUGAAGGACAUGCAUGAAAACACUUCGUUUACAUUGAAGAAAAACGAAGCCCGACGAAGGAAGAACUGUCAUUUUGUAAUCUAAUAAGAGUAUUAGUAAAACAGUCUUUGACAGUAGUGACGUUCAGGACAUGCAAAAAUGUUUUAUGUGAGUAAAUUAUAUUUGCGCAAAACUACUUUGUUUUUACAAGGCUGCACGAUUUUCACCGUUUUUGCAACUGCACAUUUGCUUUCACAAUUUGUGCCUUCAAAGAACUCAAAAUCAUUCCCCAAACUACAAAUUAGACAACAGGACGUUUUGACGAUGAAAACGUAGUUUUAGCUUUGUUUAUAUUUUGUUGUUUGCACUCCUAGUCAAAUUUAACAUGGCGGAUUUAUAUGGGCACGAUUCGUGAUCAAGUACGCAUUCUAUAUCUAUUAUUUCUAUGGUGCGCAUCUAUACCAAACAAAUCUUAAAUGGAGUACCCACGUUUUAACAAAAUUAGGCUUUUCUGUUUAGUUUAAUUAUUUUUUUGUUUAUCUAUUUAAUUAUUAUUUAUUGAUUUAAUGUGACGAGCCACCUUUAUAUUCUUUUAAAACGGGUUAGGUUGACAAGAAUACAAGUAGAUAAAUUUAUAUAGAAUAUUAUUCUCAAUGUAGUAGGAGAUCCGAAAGUGGACAAGGUUCGACGGCUUUGGGCUUACAAUUGUACUUCUGGACAAGGUAGAUACGUCUAUAUGACAACUACCGAAGCAGGUAAAAUACCGUUUUAACAACAUUUAAUUUUAUCCUUGACAAGGCGAGAGAUAACUGGUGGCUAGGUAUCUCUCAUGAUGCUGACGUUUUCAUUUUUUAAAAAUUUAC